GCAGUGCCCUACCCAGAAAAGGACCAGUCACUGAGACUCGGUUUCUGGGUCCUUUCUGAGUAGAGUAAGGUU
rfam:Otolemur garnettii contig090503, whole genome shotgun sequence.